rnacentral:misc_RNA from 1 species
CAUGCCUAAACGUACUAUCGAUGAACGAAUUAGUAAAUAUCACAAGAAAAUAGAAAAGUUACAACGAGAGAAAAAUAAGGAACCCUCUCGCAAAAGAAUUCGAGUAAUGCAAUCCUCGUCUGACGAGGAAAAUGAACAAGAUACAAUUAUUGCUGAUGUCAUUGUUCACUGUCCUCCAAUGGACCAAAUAAACCAAGAAAACAGCGUGACUGCACCUGUUCAAUCUGAGGGGCACCAGUGCACCCAACAAUUGCCAAUUAAUGACCUUGAGGAUAAUCCUCGCCAAAACACGGUUGAACAUGAGAUUGCUGAUCUUGAAGUAGACCAAAGUACCCCCAUGCCCGAUGAAACCGCGCAAGCACCUGCAGAAGCACCGGUGGAACCGGAGCUGCUUAUGGCCUUGGGUGAAUCCACAGACGACAUACCUGAAUUUGGUAAACCAAUACAUGAGAGUCUAGCUAGUCUAUGGUUACCUUUACUAAAAAAGGGCAUGCCCAAAGAUAACAAAGAUAAACUUAUGAAAAACUAUUUAAUCCCCGAGAAUUGCAAACUUCUGCAAUCUCCCAAACUUAACGCUGAAAUCUCAGCUGCAGUAUCCGAAAUAGUCAGAGGCCGCGAUAAAAAGCUAUCUAGCUUUCAACAACAACUUGGCGCAGGCAUUACUGCAAUCAAUAAGGGUAUGGAGAUCCUCCUAAGUAGUGAUAACAAAGCUCAGGCUCUGACUCAUUUUAGUGACAGCUGCCGAAUUCUGACAGAUCUUCACUGCGCUUCGACCAAAGAUAGGAUAAAACUAUUAACUCCAAGUCUUGAGAAGAACAUUCUACAUGUAAUACAAGAUUCCGAAAGAGACGAUACUCUCUUUGGAAACGCCUUGUCAGAGAAAAUCAAGGCCAGCAAAGCUAUUCAAAGACAAGGUCAACAGAUAAAAAGUCUGUGCCUUACCAACCUACUACUUCCGGGUUUCGUCAGAUGACGCCAAACCGUUAUACCCCGCCGGGAAACUGGAGGGGUCCACCUCGCUAUUACAUCAGCAGCAGAGGUGGACGAGGCAGCCAGACGAGGAUGGCAACGCCCAGGAGGUCGUACAAUUACAACACAACUCCGGCAGCGAAACCCGCUCCUCAGACCAGGCCUCGUGCUCCCACUCAACAGUAAAUCAGGGACCACCACCCCUUGCAUGCCAGCCUUACCCUGGGUGCCGCGAGGCUUUGCGGGCGGCGUUCAUCAAGCGGGGAACCCCUCUUGAGGCAGUACCUCUAAUGCUAGCCUCAUUAGCUCGGACCACUUUAAGUCAAUAUAACGUAACCCUAAAGCUCUGGUGGGAAUAUUGCAAUUCAAAAACUUUGAUGCGUAUUUUAUGUCGAUACCCACAGUACUUUCCUUUUUAACGGAACUAUUUAAUAAGGGUUGUUCGUAUAGUUCAUUGAAUAGCCACCGUUCGGCGUUAUCCUUGCUGCUUGGUAGCGAAAUAGGUACAGAUAACUGUGUCAAAAGACUUUUGAAAGGGGCAUUUAAAUUGAAACCAAUAACACCAAAAUAUAAUUCCACCUGGGACCCUCAGGUUGUACUAAAUCAUCUUUCGUCUUGGUUUCCCAACUCCGAUAUCCCCCUAGAAAAAAUAACUAAAAAACUAGUUACUCUGUUAGCACUCUGUACAGCUCACAGAGUGCAAACCUUAUCUCUCAUAAAACUAGAAAAUAUCACAGAAGCCCCAGAUGGAAUCAAAAUUGCAAUAGUUGACAUAAUUAAAACUUCCGCGGUAGGCCGAGAACAACCCAUAUUAAAAUUGCCCUUUUUCCGCGAAAAAUUAAGUAUCUGCCCAGCUACAACCCUUAAGGAUUACAUUUUCGUCACGAAAAAGUUAAGGGUCGAUAGCAAGGGAACUCUUUUCCUUACGUAUAAGCGACCUCACAAAGCCGCUAGCAGUCAAACCCUAAGUAGGUGGAUUAAACUAGUAUUACACGAAAGUGGCGUGGAUGUCAAUGUAUUCAGUGCUCAUAGCACCCGCCAUUCUGCUACCUCAACCGCUUUUGCGGCUGGAAUCAGCCUAGAUACGAUUAGAAAGGCAGCUGGCUGGACCAGCAACUCUCAAACUUUUGCCAAAUUUUAUAACCGGCCAAUAAUCAACUGUAAUGAUGAUUAUGAUUUCGCUAGAUCGAUUUGUUUCCCAGAAACCAUUGUCAGCGACAGUGAUGAAUCUUAAAUGCUAAUUAUACCAGAUAUACAUAAAUUCAUAUGAUUUAAUAUAUUGUUUUGUGAUGAUUAGACAUGCUAAAUACUAAAUGAAGAAAAUAAAACAAUGAAUAAUAAAAGCAGUUUUAUUUUUUUUACAAAACUUUCUAACAUCUCUAAACAUCUACCUGUUAAAACAUUAUAUCGAGAAUGAAGCGAUGAAAUAUAAUAGAUGAUUAAACGAACUUUCCUAAAGUGAAGUUCGAUCACUAUUAUAUGAGUCGCUUCAUUCGAAGAUAUAAGCAUAAUCACCCACCCAUCCCUAGGUGACCCAAAUAAGAAAGUUUUGUUGUGACUCUAAAAAAUGAAGUCUACGGCAGCGCCCCACCCUUAGGUGGCGGCAGCCGGAUGUACUAAUACCAGUUUUCAAUCAAAUGAAGUACUCUAAAAGCGUGCCAGUUGCCUG